rnacentral:rRNA from 1 species
UACGGAGGAUGCAAGCGUUAUCCGGAAUGAUUGGGCGUAAAGCGUCCGCAGGUGGCUGUGUAAGUCUGCUGUCAAAGAGCGAAGCUCAACUUCGUAAAGGCAGUGGAAACUACACGGCUAGAGUGCGUUCGGGGCAGAGGGAAUUCCUGGUGUAGCGGUGAAAUGCGCAGAUAUCGGGAAGAACACCCGUGGCGAAGGCGGCUCUCUGGAACGCAACUGACGCUGAGACGCGAAAGCGUGGGGAGCAAACAGG